AUUGAACGCUGGCGGCAGGCCUAACACAUGCAAGUCGAGCGGGGUUUUCGGACCUAGCGGCGGACGGGUGAGUAAUGCGUAGGAAGCUACCCGAUAGAGGGGGAUACCAGUUGGAAACGACUGUUAAUACCGCAUAAUGUCUACGGACCAAAGUGUGGGACCUUCGGGCCACAUGCUAUCGGAUGCGCCUACGUGGGAUUAGCUAGUUGGUGAGGUAAUGGCUCACCAAGGCGACGAUCACUAGCUGGUUUGAGAGGAUGAUCAGCCACACUGGAACGGGGACACGGUCCAGACUCCUACGGGAGGCAGCAGUGGGGAAUAUUGGACAAUGGGCGCAAGCCUGAUCCAGCCAUGCCGCGUGUGUGAAGAAGGCCUUCGGGUUGUAAAGCACUUUCAGUAGGGAGGAAGCGUUGUGUGUUAAUAGUACACAGCGUUGACGUUACCUACAGAAGAAGCACCGGCUAACUCUGUGCCAGCCGCCGCCGUAACAC
rnacentral:rRNA from 1 species